GACGAACGCUGGCGGCGUGCUUAACACAUGCAAGUCCAGCGGUAAGGCCCUUUCGGGGGUACACGAGCGGCGAACGGGUGAGUAACACGUGGGUGACCUGCCCUCAGCUCUGGGAUAAGCCUGGGAAACCGGGUCUAAUACUGGAUAUGACUCCAUGACGCAUGUUGUGGGGUGGAAAGCCUUGUGCGGCUGAGGAUGGGCCCGCGGCCUAUCAGCUUGUUGGUGGGGUG
rnacentral:rRNA from 1 species